AGGAGACUUUGCCUCUGGCUUCCCCUCCCCUCCCUCCAGCCUUGAGUCCAGCCUCUUCUCUGAAUCACUGUAGCAUCUAUUUACCUACUAUUUAGGUUGGGGGUUACUAGAUCCUGCCUUGUGUGUGUUUGUGCCUCCACUGUGUCGGGUCUGUAGGUUGCAUUAUUCCUGUAAGACCGUAGGUCUCCCUAGAGAAGUGGGAUUGACUGCAUCUCCUGUCUCUCCCAGAGCCCAGUACGCUGCACGCAGGACGUGUUCAUAGCUCUGCUGACAUUGCUCAGCUGGGAAAUGAGAAGGUUCAUGAGAUGGCUGCCCUCUUCCUCCAGAGAAGCAAGACCCCAGGAACAAUCCAGGAUCCAGCCCCUUGACCUGGAAGCCAGACUUCUUCUGACGUCUACAAGACCAUGCAGAGGGAAAAAGGCUGCAGCUCCUGGAGUCCCCAUCAGCUGAGGAAAAUGCCCCCGGACGAAGUGAAUGCCGCAGAUUUGGAUUUCAAACACCAGCAUUGAUCUCAGCAUCGAUUGGGGUUGUGUUGCUGUUCUCGCCCGAGCACCGAGUCCCGCCUGGUCCCCCAGGGAAGAGGAUUGAUCGCAGGGUGUAGCUGAGGGGCCGGGAUGGAAGAGGAAGGACAAAGGGAGCCAGUCCCACGAUGAGGAAAGCACCCUGGACAUGCUUGUCCAAUAAACUGAAAUUCUGCAAAUCA
rnacentral:lncRNA from 1 species